GCGAGUAUGGUAUAGUGGCUAUUACGGCGCCUUGCCAUGGCGCAAACACGGGUUCGAUUCCCGUUACUCGCUCCA
rnacentral:tRNA from 1 species